rnacentral:rRNA from 1 species
GAUGAACGCUAGCGGCAGGCCUAAUACAUGCAAGUCGAACGGUAAGAUCUCGCUUGCGAGAUACACGAGUGGCGCACGGGUGAGUAACGCGUAUGCAACCUACCUUCAACUGGAGAAUAGCCCCGAGAAAUCGGGAUUAAUACUCCAUAACAUCCAGCUUUCGCAUGUUAGCUGGAUUAAAGUCCCGACGGUUGAAGAUGGGCAUGCGUGACAUUAGUUUGUUGGUGAGGUAACGGCUCACCAAGACUACGAUGUCUAGGGGUUCUGAGAGGAUUUUCCCCACACUGGUACUGAGACACGGACCAGACUCCUACGGGAGGCAGCAGUAAGGAAUAUUGGUCAAUGGACGAAAGUCUGAACCAGCCAUGCCGCGUGCAGGAUGACAGCCCUAUGGGUUGUAAACUGCUUUUAUACGGGAAGAACCCCCUGUACGUGUACAGGGUUGACGGUACCGUACGAAUAAGGAUCGGCUAACUCCGUG